rnacentral:rRNA from 1 species
AGGCUUUGAUCCUGGCUCAGGAUGAACGCUGGCGGCGUGCUUAACACAUGCAAGUCGAACGAAGUCUUCGGACUUAGUGGCGGACGGGUGAGUAACGCGUGAGGAUCUGCCCUUAGGUUGGGGACAACCACUGGAAACGGUGGCUAAUACCCAAUGUGCCGAGAGGUGAAAGGUUAACUGCCUGAGGAUGAACUCGCGUCUGAUUAGCUAGUUGGUGGGGUAAGGGCUCACCAAGGCGACGAUCAGUAGCUGGUCUGAGAGGAUGAUCAGCCACACUGGGACUGAGACACGGCCCAGACUCCUACGGGAGGCAGCAGUGGGGAAUUUUCCGCAAUGGGCGAAAGCCUGACGGAGCAACGCCGCGUGAGGGAGGAAGGCCCUAGGGUGUAAACCUCUUUUCUCUGGGAAGAAGAUCUGACGGUACCAUGAGGAAUAGCAUCGGCGUAACAUCCG